UACGUAGGGUGCAAGCGUUGUCCGGAAUUAUUGGGCGUAAAGAGCUCGUAGGCGGUUUGUCGCGUCUGCUGUGAAAACUGGAGGCUCAACCUCCAGCCUGCAGUGGGUACGGGCAAACUAGAGUGCGGUAGGGGAGAUUGGAAUUCCUGGUGUAGCGGUGGAAUGCGCAGAUAUCAGGAGGAACACCGAUGGCGAAGGCAGAUCUCUGGGCAGUAACUGACGCUGAGGAGCGAAAGCGUGGGGAGCGAACAGG
rnacentral:rRNA from 1 species